UACGGGGGGGGCAAGCGUUGUUCGGAAUUACUGGGCGUAAAGGGCUUGUAGGUGGCUUGUUAAGUCAGACGUGAAAUCCCUCAGCUUAACUGGGGAACUGCGUCUGAGACUGGUGAGCUUGAGUGCAGGAGAGGAACGCGGAAUUCCAGGUGUAGCGGUGAAAUGCGCAGAUAUCAGGAGGAACACCCGUAGCGAAGGCGGCACUCUGGGCCGAUACUGACACUGAGGAGCGAAAGCGUGGGGAGCGAACAGG
rnacentral:rRNA from 1 species